AUACGUAGGGGGCGAGCGUUGUCCGGAAUGAUUGGGCGUAAAGGGCGCGUAGGCGGCGCGGUAAGUCUGGAGUGAAAGUCCUGCUUUCAAGGUGGGAAUUGCUUUGGAUACUGCCGCGCUUGAGUGCAGGAGAGGUUAUCGGAAUUCCCGGUGUAGCGGUGAAAUGCGUAGAGAUCGGGAGGAACACCAGUGGCGAAGGCGGGUAACUGGACUGCAACUGACGCUGAGGCGCGAAAGUGUGGGGAGCAAACAGGAUUAGAUACCCUGGUAGUCCACACUGUAAACGAUGAAUGCUAGGUGUAAGAGGUAUCGACCCCUGUUGUGCCGGAGUCAACACAAUAAGCAUUCCGCCUGGGGAGUACGGCCGCAAGGUUGAAACUCAAAUGAAUUGACGGGG
rnacentral:rRNA from 1 species